rnacentral:rRNA from 1 species
UACAGAGGUCUCAAGCGUUGUUCGGAUUCAUUGGGCGUAAAGGGUGCGUAGGCGGCGCGGUAAGUCGGGGUGUGAAAUCUCGGAGCUUUAACUCCGAAAACUGCAUUCGAUACUGCCGUGCUUGAGGACUGGAGAGGAGACUGGAAUUUACGGUGUAGCGGUGAAAUGCGUAGAUAUCGUAAGGAAGACCAGUGGCGAAGGCGGGGUCUCUGGACAGUUCCUGACGCUGAGGCACGAAGGCCAGGGGGAGCAAACGGGG